AAUUUAUGUGGCACACAAGUUUAGACACAGAGAUAAGAUUGUAUUGAAAGCUAGGAAUGUAAAGGACAUGAUGUAGAGUGAAGGAAAAGAAUUGUAUUGAGCCAGUGCAAGUUACCUUAACCUUGUAACCAUUGGGUAAGGUAACUAGAUAUGGUAUAACUAAGGGUUUAAUGUCAAACAGAAGGUCUUUAUUAGAGGUCAUGUGAUCAGUGGCACCGGAAUCUAUAGUCCAAAUGCAAUCACUUAUUUUAGUUAGCAUGCAAGCCCCAUAAGAUACAUUUUUUAAGUGAGUGGUUGAAGAAAAGUUACCAGCAAAAUUGGCUGAUGCCAUAAGACUUGACUGCUGCUGAGACUCUGAAAUUUGUGUCUGAUGGAGUAACAGCAUAAGCUGUGAGUACUGAUCUUUGGUUAAGCCAGGUAUGACAGACUCUAAUUUAGAAGCCCCCUGAUAAUUGGAAAUAUUGGUCUGGUUUCUAGUAGAGUUUAGACUCCCCUGCACUUCAACAUGAGGUGCACUCCUCCUUCCUUUUGUGAAUUUGAAAUCUGAUGGAACACCUUUUUUGAAUUUGAAGUCUGAUGGAAAACCCUGGAGUUUGUAGCAUUUGUCAAUGAGGUGACCAGGUCUUUUACAAUACCUACACACUAAGUUUGCCCUGUUGAUGUCAAAGUUGAGUCUCUGAUUAAACUGCUUAGGGUACCCAGCUGUGGAAGGAGGAGAUUUUGUGAUAGGAGGGGAUCUGUUGCUGAGAUGAGUAUUGAAGGCACUCGAAUCAUGACGAAAUUGGGAAGGUGAAGAAACUUGUAAGGGUACCCAGCUGUGGAAGGAGGAAAUUUUGUGAUAGGUGGGGAUCUGUUGCUGCAAUGAGUAUUGAAGGCACUCGAAUCAUGACGUAAUUGGGAAGGUGAUGAAACUUGUCUUUGCCUCUCAUCUUGGAGUAAAAUGUUGUAUGCACAAUCCAGACUAGGUGGAGGUUGUAACAUGAGAAUGUUGCUCCUGACUCCCACAUAUAUGUCAUUGAGCCCCAUUAGAAACUGAUGCAAUUUAUUUUCAUCAUCCUCCUUUUGAAGUUCAGAUAUGGCAUUGCAUGUGCAAGUAUUACCACGAGAUGCUCGCAUGAAACAUAGCUCAUCCCAUAGUUUCUUUAACUUGUUGAAAUAGGAUGCUAUAUCCAAUGACCCCUGAUUAGUUGAUGCCAACUCCUGUUUAAUCUCAAAUAUCCUGGUCCCAUUCACAGUGACCCUUGAUUAGUUGAUCCCAACUCCUGUUUAAUCUCAAAUACCCUGGUCCUAUUCACAGUCCCAUAUCUACUGUUAAGCUGAUUCCAGAUGCUUUGAGCAGUGUCGGAAUACUGAACACUCUCGGCUAUCUCCGGCGCAAGGGAAUUAGUAAGCCAGGAGAUAACAAUGUUGUUGCACCUAUCCCAUUGUCUAUACUGAGGAGAGUUUUCUGGAGGUUUGGGAAUAAUUCCCUCAAUGAAGCCUAUCUUAUUUCUAGCAGAUAGGGAGACGAUUAUAUUACGUCUCCAUCCCCCAAAACCAAUCCCUGAAAAAUGAUUGCUUACCACGGAUAUUCCCGGGACAUCAGAAGACAAGAGAAACAAAGGAUUCGAGGGGUCAAUGACAACAUUAUCA
rnacentral:lncRNA from 1 species